rnacentral:rRNA from 1 species
ACGGAGGGUGCAAACGUUGCUCGGAAUCAAUGGGCGUAAAGCGCGCGUAGGCGGCUUGAUAAGUCGAAUGUGAAAGCCCCCGGCUUAACCGGGGAAGUGCAUACGAAACUGUCAAGCUUGAGUAUGGGAGAGGAUUGCGGAAUUCCCGGUGUAGAGGUGAAAUUCGUAGAUAUCGGGAGGAACACCAGCGGCGAAGGCGGCAAUCUGGACCAAUACUGACGCUGAGGUGCGAAAGCGUGGGGAGCAAACAGG